UGGGGAAUAUUGCGCAAUGGGGGGAACCCUGACGCAGCCAUGCCGCGUGAAUGAAGAAGGCCUUCGGGUUGUAAAGUUCUUUCGGUAUUGAGGAAGGUUGAUGUGUUAAUAGCACAUCAAAUUGACGUUAAAUACAGAAGAAGCACCGGCUAACUCCGUGCCAGCAGCCGCGGUAAUACGGAGGGUGCGAGCGUUAAUCGGAAUAACUGGGCGUAAAGGGCACGCAGGCGGUUAUUUAAGUGAGGUGUGAAAGCCCUGGGCUUAACCUAGGAAUUGCAUUUCAGACUGGGUAACUAGAGUACUUUAGGGAGGGGUAGAAUUCCACGUGUAGCGGUGAAAUGCGUAGAGAUGUGGAGGAAUACCGAAGGCGAAGGCAGCCCCUUGGGAAUGUACUGACACUCAUGUGCGAAAGCGUGGGGAGCAAACAGGAUUAGAUACCCUGGUAGUCCACGCUGUAAACGCUGUCGAUUUGGGGGUUGGGGUUUAACUCUGGCGCCCGUAGCUAACGUGAUAAAUCGACCGCCUGGGGAGUACGGCCGCAAGGUUA
rnacentral:rRNA from 1 species